UAACUUGCGAUAAGCCCAGAUUAGGCAGUAAAAGCCACUUGAGUCUGGGAUUUCCGAAUGGGGAAACCCACUUACAUAAGUAAGUAUCCUUACCUGAAUACAUAGGGUAAGGAGGCGAACCGGGGGAACUGAAACAUCUAAGUACCCCGAGGAAAAGAAAUCAACCGAGAUUCCGAAAGUAGCGGCGAGCGAAAUUGGACUAGCCCUUAAGCUUUAUAUGCGUUAGACGAACGGUCUGGAAAGUCCGGCGAUACAGGGUGAUAGCCCCGUAGUUGACAACGCACAUUCAGUGAAAUCGAGUAGGGCGGGACACGUGAUAUCCUGUCUGAAUAUGGGGGGACCAUCCUCCAAGGCUAAAUACUACUGACUGACCGAUAGUGAACCAGUACCGUGAGGGAAAGGCGAAAAGAACCCCUGUGAGGGGAGUGAAAUAGAACCUGAAACCGUGUACGUACAAGCAGUAGGAGCAUCUUCGUGGUGUGACUGCGUACCUUUUGUAUAAUGGGUCAGCGACUUAUAUUCAGUGGCAAGGUUAACCGUCUAGGGGAGCCGUAGGGAAACCGAGUCUUAACUGGGCGCUCAGUCUCUGGAUAUAGACCCGAAACCAGGUGAUCUAGCCAUGGGCAGGUUGAAGGUUGAGUAACAUCAACUGGAGGACCGAACCGACUAAUGUUGAAAAAUUAGCGGAUGACUUGUGGCUAGGGGUGAAAGGCCAAUCAAACC
rnacentral:rRNA from 1 species